rnacentral:rRNA from 1 species
GUUGAACGCUGGCGGCAUGCUUUACACAUGCAAGUCGAACGGCAGCACGGACUUCGGUCUGGUGGCGAGUGGCGAACGGGUGAGUAAUACAUCGGAACGUACCCAGUAAUGGGGGAUAACUAUCCGAAAGGAUAGCUAAUACCGCAUACGCCCUACGGGGGAAAGAGGGGGAUCGCAAGACCUCGUGUUAUUGGAGCGGCCGAUGGCGGAUUAGCUAGUUGGUGAGGUAAAGGCCUACCAAGGCAACGAUCAGUAGCGGGUCCCAGAGGACGAUCCGCCACACUGGAACUGAGACACGGUCCAGACUCCUACGGGAGGCAGCAGUGGGGAAUCUUGGACAAUGGGCGCAAGCCUGAUCCAGCAAUGCCGCGUGCGUGAAGAAGGCCUUCGGGUUGUAAAGCGCUUUUGUCAGGGAGCAAAUCCUUGUGGCUAAUACCCACCGGGGAUGAGAGUACCUGAAGAAUAAGGACCGGCUAACUACGUGCCAGCCGCCGCCGUAAGAC